CCCUUAGAUGUUCUGGGCCGCACGCGUGCUACACUGAGUAAAUCAAUGGGUAAGGGAACACGAAAGUGCAACCUAAUCUUGAAAUUUGCUCGUGAUGGGGAUCGACGGUUGCAAUUUUCCGUCGUGAACGAGGAAUACCUUGUAGGCGCGUGUCAUCAUCACGCGCCGAAUACGUCCCUGCCCUUUGUACACACCGCCCGUCGCUCCUACCGAUUGAGUGAUCCGGUGAGGCUCUGGGACCUGGACGGAAAGAGCGCUUCGCUUGUUCUGUUUGGGAAACUUGGUCGAACCUUAUCAUUUAGAGGAAGGAGAAGUCGUAACA
rnacentral:rRNA from 1 species